rnacentral:tRNA from 1 species
AGGAAUUUAGGAUUACUAUUAAACCGGAUACUUUCAACGUAACAAAAAAGAGCGCAAGCUCUUAAUUCCUG